ensembl:lncRNA
AUCAGCCAGCCGCGGCUUUCCGCAUGAGUGAAUCAUUUGCAGUCUGGACGCGGAGGGGUGAACUUCUGCUGACCACGGCAUUACCCGCUGCUUGUUGAGAAGACUAAGUCCCCUCCAGCACCAUGAUUAAGAGGGGAUGACUACUCCACUCCACUAUCAUUGUCAACUCUCGCCUGACAUUAACUGAAGCCACGUCUCACGUGCCACUCAUCCACCGGCACAUUGAAUGUUUCCCCUCCAAGCACUUCAAAUCCUGUCCUGCACUGAAGUCAAGACUCUGAACACCUCAACUCAUGCAUCAUACUCUCAUUCAAUCACAAUCCCUUCCCAACACUGUAUGCUGAACUGAGUCAGACCUGCAUGGGACGCCAGCGCGAACACAUACACACACACCCAUCACCCCCUCCUCUCUGAGACUCACAGCGUCCCUCCCCACUCCAAAAGAAGAGGCUAUAGGGAUGCUGGGCUGCCAGUCCAGCUGUCUCCAUCUGGCCAGCUCACUUGGCAGCAUGUGACACCACACAACUCAUGCCAAACUGUGUCCCAGCAGCUGGAGGGCCACAGCAAAAACCAAUCAACAAACAGAACAGCAUCGGUCUCACUGUUGCUGGGCCAGCUUCUAUACGCUCUGAGAAAAUGUUCACGCUACAGUAUACUGUAGGCCUAUCCUACCAAAACAAAAGUCCCUGUUCCAUUCAAU